CAAUGGCGUAAACAGAGGGAAGCGAAGCGGUGACGUGGAGCGAAUCCCAAAAAUAACGUCCCAGUUCGGAUUGUAGUCUGCAACCCGACUACAUGAAGCUGGAAUCGCUAGUAAUCGCGGAUCAGAAUGCCGCGGUGAAUACGUUCCCGGGUCUUGUACACACCGCCCGUCACACCAUGGGAGUCGGUAACACCCGAAGUCGGUGGUCUAACCGCAAGGAGGACGCCGCCGAAGGUGGGAUUGAUGACUGGGGUGAAGUCGUAACAAGGUAAC
rnacentral:rRNA from 1 species